rnacentral:rRNA from 1 species
CGCGAAAUCCCGAGCAAUCGGGAAAGUAGAGUGGCGCACGGGUGAGUAACACGUAGGUAAUCUACCUUUGGAUGGGGAAUAACAAUCGGAAACGGUUGCUAAUACCGCAUAAUGCAGCGGCACCUAAUGGUGACAGUUGUUAAAGCGGGGGAUCGAAAGACCUCGCGUCUAAAGAGGAGCCUGCGGCGGAUUAGCUUGUUGGUAAGGUAACGGCUUACCAAGGCGACGAUCCGUAGCCGGCCUGAGAGGGCGGUCGGCCACACUGACACUGACAUACGGGUCAGACUCCUACGGGAGGCAGCAGUCGGGAAUUUUGGGCAAUGGGCGAAAGCCUGACCCAGCAACGCCGCGUGAAGGAUGAAAUCCCUCGGGAUGUAAACUUCGCAAGAACGGGAAGAAUAAGUCUGUGUAAAUAUCACAGAUGAUGACGGUACCGUUUGUAAGCUCCGGCUAACUCCGUGCCAGCAGCCGCGGUAAUACGGGGGGAGCAAGCGUUGUUCGGAUUUACUGGGCGUAAAGGGCGCGUAGGCGGCCACCAAAAGUCAAUUGUGAAAUCUCCGGGCUUAACUCGGAAAGGUCAACUGAUACUGCGGGGCUAGAGUGCGGAAGGGGCAACCGGAAUUCUCGGUGUAGCGGUGAAAUGCGUAGAUAUCGAGAGGAACACCUGCGGCGAAGGCGGGUUGCUGGGCCGACACUGACGCUGAUGCGCGAAAGCCAGGGGAGCGAACGGGAUUAGAUACCCCGGUAGUCCUGGCCUUAAACGAUGAAUGCUUGGUGUCUGGGGUUAUAAAGUCCCCGGGUGCCGUCGCUAACGCUU